UAAAAGGGCUUCAGCUAUGAAAAUGGUUCGGGCGUACCUGAUAUCAGGUGUCGUUCGCGGAAUCUAAAUCAAGAGAUUUCGGAAGCAUAAUUUUUGUCCCAAGGAGGGUUACUAAUCACUGUUGGAACCCCCCA